UUCAAACAAAAGAGACCUAUAAGAAUACAA
rnacentral:piRNA from 1 species